GUAUUUCAAUCACUAUUUCCUUUGGUAAUGAAAUGAACUUUCCGUGACUGAUUUAACUCAAAAUAUGGUGAAACUGUUUGAAAACUUACUUAGAUAGUUACAGUUAAAAUAAUAAAGUUUCUAUUAAACAAAUUAAAAAAUUUCCAGCAUAUCUCUGAAGAGCAGUUUAAAGUUUGUUUUUCUGUCAUUCAAUCUUACCUGCUAUUGUCCAAUUUUUUUCCCCAUGAAUAUGUAUUCAAAAUAAAACAUUUUUGCCAACUAUA
rnacentral:lncRNA from 1 species